CAACAAUACUGUAAUAGCUUUGUAUGCUGACAGAUGGCAACUACACUUAUGGUUAAACUGUCCUCAAGAGACCUUGGAAUCACUACCAACCUGAAGGUGGGAAGAGGAGGAGACCGAUGUCUGAGAUCAGGAAGGGAAGAUAGCCCUUCAUCCCCUUCCGAAUCCUGCCUUUAAUCUCAUAGACCAUACGGAUCCAGAGAGAUGGAUGGACCAACAGAGAUGGACAAGACAAAUUUUCCAUUAGAGUUCCAGCAUUUCUAUGUAUUUUCUACAGCCCAAUUCUCCUUGACAAAGGAUUUUGUGCAAUAUUAUUACCUGAGAAAGCUCUUUCUUAGAUAAAUGCAAGGUGUUAUUGAGGGUAGAUACUGUUAUUAAUAUUUAUGUUGUAUUAAAUAUUAAUGUGUUUGGGUUGCAUACAAAAGAUCAUCUAUUUACUCAUCUCAAAAAGCUAUUAUGAAAAUCAAGUGAAACAAGUCAAAGAAAACACAUAACGAAUACUAUGCAUAUGUUAAUAUGACCUUG